rnacentral:lncRNA from 1 species
UCAAAUAAUAAAAUUGUAAUAUUAAUUAAAUUAUACUUUUAAAAUGUGACUAAAAUUUCAUAACUGUAACCAUAAAUAUGACAGAAUUCAUCACCUUAUUAUUAUUAUUAUCGUUAUAGUUCAGGAAAGUAGUUGAAAGCAUUCAAGGGUAUAGGAGGAAUUUGGAAGCAACAACUGAUGCCAUUAGUUCUCUUGUUAUUCUCAGUCACGGUUAGGAUUAGGGUAGAGUUUAAACCCUACUCUACUUUAUCCAUUGUCAGCCAUACAUUCAACCUUACCUGAUACUUAUUAGUCUCUCGUGUGGUUCCCUUGCUGGCCAACAGCACAAGCUGGUGGAGGUCGCCUCCACGACGUGCCUCCGUAACGCAACUUACGAUCUUUACUAGCUUUAGAUUCGCGUUAUAAUUGUGGUUGUACUCUGUGAUUGCGAAAAGCGCAAUCUGGACCACACGGUGAUCAUUGACGUCCAUGGGUUUUGUGCACGUCACAGCAAAGGCAGAAAGAGAACCCAAAACAAGGAGAGAAAUGAUGAUCAGGCAGCUUGAUCUCAUGGUAGCCAUGCUUGAUGAUGUUUUGGUUCUUCUUGAAAGCUUAGUAUUUUAUUUUGUGUCUAAGUGGUGCAUAGUUACGU